AGACAGCAGAGAUGCUUCAGUUGAAUUUUUCCCAAGAAGAACCCCCUCGCUGGAAGCCAUUCAACGUGACUUUUUCAAAUCACGAAGGAGGUAAAAAGAAUUUCCCUACUUUAUCAAGCACAGCUACAGCUGAGGUAUAUAUAUGCAUCUGACAGCAGUCAGCAUUUUGUUAACAACUUCCAGAUAGCGGAUCCUCUUCCAGUUCCACGUGGAUUUUACAAUUAGAACUCUGAAUUUUUGUGAACUACUGUCACACAAACUGUUCUACUUCUCCCAAGAAACCACAACUUCAGUAAUUGAAAUACAGGUCUGAAAUAUAUUCAUCAAUUUUAUCUUUCAGGAAGUAUAAGUAAAUAAUGCUCUAACCACCAAACAAAUUCAUUUCCUACCAUGCAAUUUCUUGUGAAGGAAACAAGGAGGUUAGCUUCCUUUGAAAGAAGUUGGAUAUGAGACUGGAUCCUGGAUCUGGCCUUCAGAGCCCUGUCAUUCUCUGAGGUUCUUUGUAUUUCAACUGUAAAACUUCACAGGGCUUUUUUGUGGCUGAGCGUAGAUCAUAGUGAAAAAAUUAAAACCACAUGAGCCUCUUUAUAUGUUUUUAGCUUUAUAUCAUUAAACAUCUGUAGACUGAUGAUUGGUAUUACUGAGAUAUAGCUGAAGGUCAAUUCCUUUGUCUUUUCACCAAGAAUAACCGUUAAGCUGAGAUGCUCAUCAUUAAAACCUGUCCGCAUGGCUUCAGUGCUUAAAUAUACUUCUGAACAUCCAAGUGAUUCAGGAGAGUUUAUUUGCUCAUAAAAAUAAAAUCAAAUAAAUAUAAAAUGAAAUAAAAACGUAUGGCAUCAACACAGAAAACAGGGCUUGAGUUUCCAUACCAAAUAUUAAGAGGAAAAAUAAAAUAAACUGUUUUUCAGCAAUCAUUGACUUCUGAACUAGAAUGGAAAGUUGGACUUCACAUAAAUCAUUAUGACCCCUUUAAGUUUAUUUCAGACAACACUUCCUGCUAAAUUUAAUACAAAUAAAUGAGAACUACCUGUUCCUAAAAUAAAAAUAGUUCAAAGAAAUUCUCACUAGCACCUUCUAAACUCUGUGUCUCAGUCUACACCUAUUGCAAAUCCCAGUACUCCACAAAAAAAAGCAAAGUUGUAGAGAGUUAGGGAACGUGAUGUGCUUGACGUUUUCUCCUGCGCAUUACCAUUAAAAAUAGUACUAAAUGAAACCUUUUCAACUUCUACUGAAACAAACAAACAAACAAACAAAAAACGUAUUAUGUACUAUUUAGUUGUGACUAAAUGGCAAUUUAUACUCAUUACUAACACUAAAAAAGAGAGACAUUGAUUUUUAGUAAAAAUUAACAUUUUAUUCUUUUUCAGGUUCUCUUAUUUAAAGCUUCCUAAAAAUCAUCCUUCUGUCUUGCUACUCCCAAACACUCCACAAUCCCAGCACCUACUUUCUGCUUAAAUUGCUAUAGUGCUUCUAAUCAGAUGGAUAAAAAAGCCAGUUACCAUACCAAGCGUUGUGAGUAAAUUGGAAAGAUACACAGUCUGAAGAAAUGAGAUCUGAGAGACUGAUUUAAUAAAAACAACUUGCUUCAGUUGAAGAAGACGUUUGUUUAUUUGUUGUGUAAAAGAUAAUAAGGACUCUUGAUGGGCUAAUUUGUAACUUUAGGAUGUUUUUAAAUAACAUAGUAACUAUUUUUAAGCUUUGUCACUUUAUCUCAAGAAGACAUUAAGAAGGAUGGACCCUUAAUGCAUGCUAAUAGAAUUAUAGUAACUGUAAUGAUUUUGAUAAACAAUUGUCAGGUCUUUGUAGCAAUAAGGGAAUCUAGGAAAAAAAUUUAAAAAGUGAUGCUAAAUAUAAAUAGAGUCUUAUCCAGCCAAACUACUCUGAAUGUUUUGAGAAUUAUAUGGCUCUGAAUCAUUUAAGACAAAACAAAAACAACAGCAAUUUGUAUUAUAAAGAAUGUCUUCUUAUACAUUCUCUUUAAAGUUUUACUCCUCAACAUCUAUUCAAUAUACAGUAGUCGUAUGUUUUGGAAGGCCAAUAUUAUGAGCUCAAAUGAAAGCAAAGCCUUGCUCAAAAUUCAUUUCUUCUCUCUACUUCAGCAGUGCUUUGAAUGUAAUUAAUAUAGAUGAGUUG
ensembl:lncRNA